AACGAACGCUGGCGGCAUGCCUAACACAUGCAAGUCGAACGAGACCUUCGGGUCUAGUGGCGCACGGGUGCGUAACGCGUGGGAACCUGCCCUUAGGUUCGGAAUAACUCCCCGAAAGGGGUGCUAAUACCGGAUAAUGUCUUCGGACCAAAGAUUUAUCGCCUUUGGAUGGGCCCGCGUUGGAUUAGCUAGUUGGUAGGGUAAAAGCCUACCAAGGCGACGAUCCAUAGCUGGUCUGAGAGGAUGAUCAGCCACACUGGGACUGAGACACGGCCCAGACCCCUACGGGAGGCCGCAGGGGGGAAUAUUGGACAAUGGGCGAAAGCCUGAUCCAGCAAUGCCGGGUGAGUGAUGAAGGCCUUAGGGUUGUAAAGCUCUUUUCCCCGGGAGGAUAAUAACAGGACCGGGAAAAUAAGUCCCGGCUAACCCCGU
rnacentral:rRNA from 1 species